AGGGUUUGAUCAUGGCUCAGAACGUACGCUGGCGGCACGCCUAACACAUGCAAGUCGAACGAAGUAGCAAUACUUAGUGGCAGACGGGUGAGUAACAUGUAGGUAUCUUCCCUUUGGCCUGGAAUAACACGAGGAAACUUGUGCUAAUACCGGAUAAGUCUUUACGGAGAAAGCUUUAUGCACCAUUGGAUGAGCCUGCACUUGAUUAGUUUGUUGGUGGGGUAAUGGCCUACCAAGACUGUGAUCAAUAGCUGAUUUGAGAGGAUGAUCAGCCACAUUGGGACUGAGACACGGCCCAAACUCCUACGGGAGGCAGCAGUGGGGAAUCUUGCACAAUGGAGGAAACUCUGAUGCAGCGAUGCCGCGUGAGUGAAGAAGGCCCUUGGGUUGUAAAGCUCUUUCGUCGGGGAAGAAAAUGACUGUACCCGAAUAAGAAGGUCCGGCUAACUUCGUGCCAGCAGCCGCGGUAAUACGAAGGGACCUAGCGUAGUUCGGAAUUACUGGGCUUAAAGAGUUCGUAGGUGGUUGAAAAAGUUAGUGGUGAAAUCCCAGAGCUUAACUCUGGAACUGCCAUUAAAACUUUUCAGCUAGAGUAUGAUAGAGGAAAGCAGAAUUUCUAGUGUAGAGGUGAAAUUCGUAGAUAUUAGAAAGAAUACCAAUUGCGAAGGCAGCUUUCUGGAUCAUUACUGACACUGAGGAACGAAAGCAUGGGUAGCGAAGAGGAUUAGAUACCCUCGUAGUCCAUGCCGUAAACGAUGUGUGUUAGACGUUGGAAAUUUAUUUUCAGUGUCGCAGCGAAAGCGAUAAACACACCGCCUGGGGAGUACGACCGCAAGGUUAAAACUCAAAUGAAUUGACGGGGACCCGCACAAGUAGUGGAGCAUGUGGUUUAAUUCGAAGAUACGCGCAGAACCUUACCAACACUUGACAUGUUCGUCGCGACUCUAAGAGAUUAGAGUUUUCGGUUCGGCCGGACGAAACACAGGUGCUGCAUGGCUGUCGUCAGCUCGUGUCGUGAGAUGUUGGGUUAAGUCCCGCAACGAGCGCAACCCUCACUUUUAGUUGCCAUCAUUAAGUUGGGCACUCUGAAAGAACUGCCAGUGAUAAGCUGGAGGAAGGUGGGGAUGACGUCAAGUCCUCAUGGCCCUUACGUGUUGGGCUACACACGUGCUACAAUGGUAUCUACAACAGGAAGCAAGACUGCGAGGUCAAGCAAAUCCUUAAAAGAUACCUCAGUUCGGAUUGCACUCUGCAACUCGAGUGCAUGAAGCUGGAAUUACUAGUAAUCGUGGAUCAGCGUGCCACGGUGAAUGCGUUCCCGGGUCUUGUACACACCGCCCGUCACACCAUGGGAGUUGGUUCUACCUUAAGGCAAGGUUUAAAACCCUUGACCACGGUAUAGUCAGCGACUGGGGUGAAGUCAUAACAAGGUAGCCGUA
rnacentral:rRNA from 1 species